rnacentral:rRNA from 1 species
GUCCAGACUCCUACGGGAGGCAGCAGUGGGGAAUAUUGCACAAUGGGGGAAACCCUGAUGCAGCGACGCCGCGUGAGCGAUGAAGUAUUUCGGUAUGUAAAGCUCUAUCAGCAGGGAAGAAGAUGACGGUACCUGGCUAAGAAGCCCCGGCUAACUACGUGCCAGCAGCCGCGGUAAUACGUAGGGGGCAAGCGUUAUCCGGAUUUACUGGGUGUAAAGGGAGCGUAGACGGCGAUGCAAGCCAGAUGUGAAAGCCCGGGGCGCAACCCCGGGACUGCUCUUGGAACUGCGUGGCUGGAGUGCAGGAGGGGCAGGCGGAAUUCCUGGUGUAGCGGUGAAAUGCGUAGAUAUCAGGAGGAACACCGGUGGCGAAGGCGGCCUGCUGGACUGCAACUGACGUUGAGGCCCGAAAGCGUGGGGAGCAAACAGGAUUAGAUACCCCCGUAUC